rnacentral:ribozyme from 1 species
UAGUAAGAGUGAGGAAGGUCGGAGUCGUCGCAAUUAAAGCAUUUUUAAAGAAAGAAUGAGUGUUG